UACGUAGGGAGCAAGCGUUGUCCGGAAUCAUUGGGCGUAAAGCGCGCGUAGGCGGUCAGGUAAGUCCGGUGUGAAAGUCAAAGGCUCAACCUUUGAAUGCCGCUGGAAACUGCCUGACUUGAGUCCGGUAGGGGCGAGUGGAAUUCCUGGUGUAGCGGUGAAAUGCGCAGAUAUCAGGAGGAACACCAAUGGCGAAGGCAGCUCGCUGGAACGGUACUGACGCUGAGGCGCGAAAGCGUGGGGAGCGAACAGG
rnacentral:rRNA from 1 species